rnacentral:rRNA from 1 species
AGUCAUAUGCUUGUCUCAAAGAUUAAGCCAUGCAUGUGUCAGUACAGGCCGUUCUAAGGCAAAACCGCGAAUGGCUCAUUAAAUCAGUUAUCAUCUACCAGGUUAUAUAUUAACUUACUCGGAUAACCCUGGUAAUUCUAGAGCUAAUACGUGAACACGAGAACCCCGACCGCAAGGGAGGGGUGCUCUUAUCAAAUAAGAACCAAUCGGACCUCGGUCCGUGAAAUCCCCAGAGCUGACACUAGAUAAUAUUCUGCCGAGAGCACGGUCUCCGCACCGGCUCCCACCCUCACGAAUUUCUGCCUUAUCAUGCUAUGGAUUGUAGGCCACGUGCCUACCAUGGCUUUAACGGGUGACGGGGAAUCAGGGUUCGAUUCCGGAGAGGGAGCCUGAGAAACGGCUACCACAUCCAAGGAAGGCAGCAGGCACGCAAAUUACCCACUCUCAGCUCUGGGAGGUAGUGACGAAAAAUAACAAUGCGGGACUCUUCCGAGUCUGCGUAAUUGGAAUGAGAACACUUUAAAUCCUUUACCGACAACCAAUUGGAGGGCAAGUCUGGUGCCAGCAGCCGCGGUAAUUCCAGCUCCAAUAGCGUAUAUUAAGGUUGUUGCRGUUAAAAAGCUCGUAGUUCGAGCUCAAAGCGUGACUGGCCGGGGAGGUCACCGCCCGGUGUCUCUUCGCGCCAGCUCCGCAGRGAAGGUGCCUAUGACUAGGUACCAAAGCCGGUGUCGCCGGGGUGCUCUUGACCGAGUGUCCCGCGCGGCCGGCCCGUUCACCUUGAACAAAUGAGAGUGCUCAAGGCAGGCUACUCCCAAAACUUAAGCCCGAAUGUUACUUGCAUGGAAUGAUGUAACAUGACCUCGGUCCCACCUUGUUGGCUCAUGGGAUCCGAGGUAAUGAUAAACAGGGACUGCCGGGGGCAUCCGUACUACGACGCGAGAGGUGAAAUUCUGUGACCGUCGUAGGACGAACUAAAGCGAAAGCAUUUGCCAAGAAUGUCCUCGUUAAUCCAGAACGAAAGUUAGAGGAUCGAAGGCGAUCAGAUACCGCCCUAGUUCUAACCCUAAACGAUGCUGACCAGUAAUCCGCCGUCGUUAUUCCCAUGACGUGGCGGGACACCCCCGGGAAACCUCAAGUCUUUGAGUUCCGGGGGUAGUAUGGUUGCAAAACUGAAACUUAAAGGAAUUGACGGAAGGGCACCACCAGGAGUGGAGCCUGCGGCUUAAUUUGACUCAACACGGGGAACCUCACCAGGCCCGGACACUAGAAGGAUUGACAGAAUAAGAGCUCUUUCUCGAUUUGGUGGGUGGUGGUGCAUGGCCGUUCUUAGUUGGUGGAGUGAUUUGUCUGGUUAAUUCCGGUAACGAACGAGACUCUGGCCUACUAAAUAGUCGACGGGGGGUAGUUUUUCGCAAGGCCCCCGUUCGACACUGUCUUCUUAGAGGGAUGAGCAGCGAGUAUAGCUGCAGGAGAUUGAGCAAUAACAGGUCUGUGAUGCCCUUAGAUGUCCUGGGCCGCACGCGCGCUACACUGAAUGGGGUAGCGGGUCUCCCUUCUCCGAGAGGAGCGGGAAAUCGCGUGAAAACCAUUCGUGAUAGGGAUUGGGGCUUGCAAUUGUUCCCCAUGAACGAGGAAUUCCCAGUAAGCGCGAGUCACCAGCUCGCGUUGAUUAAGUCCCUGCCCUUUGUACACACCGCCCGUCGCUACUACCGAUUGAAUGGUUUAGUGAGGACUUUGGACUGGCUGGUGGUCUGGGUGCCAACUUGCCCUAUGGGCGAUGUUGGUCCCACCAUUUCGAGCCGAAAGAAGUCCGAACUUGACCAUUUAGAGGAAGUAAAAGUCGUAACAAGGUUUCCGU